ensembl:lncRNA
UGUCAGAGUAGAGUCAGUUCUAGCUGCUCCAAAAGGGACCCAGAGGUCUGGUGGGAGCUGUUGCCUGUGGGUUACCUGCGCUGGAGCAGUUCUUGAAGAGUUAGGGAGGGAGCCCACUCCGUAACAGCAGCAGAGGGUGAUCAUGAAGGUGUGGGAGAAAUGAAGCAUUAUGGACUGACUAAGUCUGAUGCUGAGUCUGUUUUGCCUAUAAUGGAAUGUGUGGCGUCCAUCCAUAUGAGACCAUCACAUCAAGUAAUUAAAAAUAGAAAUUGAAGAUUUGGAAAGACACCUGGAAUCAUAAUCAGUAUGGAAACAGGGAUGGAGAAUGAGGAUCACUCAUUGGAUUGUAACUGCAUACAUUUCCUUUCUCUAAUCAGCCUGGGACACCUAAGCGGAACGAUGAGAUUGACUUAGGAUCCCCUUCUGUAUCAUUGUUACUGAACAAAUCACUUCUAUUUGAUAUCCCAGUUUGUAUUCCAUGACUUGGGAAAAGAAAUGUGUUCUGAAUUUUCAUUUUAGCUUCACUAAACAAUGCCC